UCGGAUAUGGUGUAUCGGCAACAUGGCUGUCUUUCAUUCGGAUCACGUGAUGAUCACAGCAGCGCCGGGUUCGACUCCCGGUAUCCGAA